CGGUGUUUAACUGGCGUGAUGUGGGACGUCCUACCGGUGGGCUUAGCCUCGCGAGGGGCGGCCCAACUAAUAUCCCGUCGCGGUGCUCUUUACUGAGUGUCGAGUCGGGCCGGUACGUUUACUUUGAACAAAUUAGAGUGCUUAAAGCAGGCUAUCCUCGCCUGAAUACUGCGUGCAUGGAAUAAUGGAAUAGGACCUCGGUUCUAUUUUGUUGGUUUUCGGAACCCCGAGGUAAUGAUUAAUAGGGACAGAUGGGGGCAUUCGUAUUGCGACGUUAGAGGUGAAAUUCUUGGAUCGUCGCAAGACGGACAGAAGCGAAAGCAUUUGCCAAAAAUGUUUUCAUUAAUCAAGAACGAAAGUUAGAGGUUCGAAGGCGAUCAGAUACCGCCCUAGUUCUAACCAUAAACGAUGCCAGCUAGCGAUCCGCCGAAGUUCCUCCGAUGACUCGGCGGGCAGCUUCCGGGAAACCAAAGCUUUUGGGUUCCGGGGGAAGUAUGGUUGCAAAGCUGAAACUUAAAGGAAUUGACGGAAGGGCACCACCAGGAGUGGAGCCUGCGGCUUAAUUUGACUCAACACGGGAAACCUCACCAGGCCCAGACACCGGAAGGAUUGACAGAUUGAUAGCUCUUUCUUGAUUCGGUGGGUGGUGGUGCAUGGCCGUUCUUAGUUGGUGGAGCGAUUUGUCCGGUUAAUUCCGAUAACGAACGAGACUCUAGCCUGCUAAAUAGGCGUACCUUAUGGUAUCGCGAAGGCCCCCGGCUUCGGCCGGUGGGUUUUUACUACCAACGUACAAACAAAUCUUCUUAGAGGGACAGGCGG
rnacentral:rRNA from 1 species